rnacentral:misc_RNA from 1 species
GAUGAAGAACGCAGCGAAAUGCGAUAAGUAAUGUGAAUUGCAGAAUUCAGUGAACCAUCGAAUCUUUGAACGCACAUUGCGCCCGGCAGUAAUCUGCCGGGCAUGCCUGUCCGAGCGUCAUUUCUGCCCUCGAGCGAGUCCAGCAUCUAGGUGCUGGGCCCGCCCGGCGUUGGGGCACUACGGGAAGCCCUGUGCUGUCCCCCGUAGGCCCCGAAAUGAAGUGGAGGUCCUGCCGCGGCGCCCCCUGCGUAGUAUAACAGCUCGCUUCGGGACCCGGUGGAGGCCUGCCGUCAAACCUUACUCUCUAAGUUUGACCUCGGAUCAGGUAGGGUUACCCGCUGAACUUAAGCAUAUCAAUAAGCGGAGGA